AAAUCAAACAAUAUGAAAGCAUGCAUUUCUUGCCAUGCCUAAGAAAAAUAACAUUUGCUUGUAGUGAAGCUGCAAGUAAAAAUUUGUGGUAAUAGAAAAGGUAGCUGCCUAACAGAAAAAUAUAUCCUAGCAUGGAUUCUGGGCAACAAUUGAGAAAAAUCAUGAAGUACACUACAAAUCAGUGAGUCUGGGUAGAAGGUGAAGUUAAGAUGACAGUGAU
rnacentral:lncRNA from 1 species